UCAGGUUUGCAUAGUGUCCUUCGCCCUGUCAGUCAGUCCCUCAGUCCCGCAGUCCCGCAGUCUCUCAGUCGGUCAGUUAGUCAGUCACUCAGUCACUGAGUCAACCGAUCCCUCGAGCACUCCGGCAACUUGGCCGCUUUGACGUGCUCUGCUUAUUUGGGCAGCCAGUUCUCGUAGUUGGCUCAAGUCGUGCACAACAAGAAAAUGUCAACAAUGCACUAGUUGCCCAUCAUCGCAGUGCCGAGAAGUUUGAUAAAUAAGCAAGCCGGGCCCAUGUCUGGGCAUUUACUUAGUUAAUUAAAUUCAACUUCUUCGGCCGGGGGAAAUGACAGCGGAGGGGAGCGAGGGAGGGCAAGUGAAGCGCUGCAGGGCGAGGAGGUGGAGGAGGAGGAGCAGGUGCCCCCAAGUUUUCCAUGCUUCCUGGCAGAAGUUUGCCCGUCGUAUUUGUUCAUAUCAUAGGUAAAUAUAUCCUGGACGGGAGCCUCGAUGUUUGCUUUUAAUUUCGCCAGUACCCUAGCCUCUGUUUUUGCAUUUGCUUUUUAAUGUGUCCGGAUGAUUAGAGCGGCUGCAUCCUGACCGAACCCCACCAAUCCUGACCAGCUUCGACCACUGGCUACUUUCUACUUUCAACUUUCAACUGGCUACUUGCAUGACUCAGAUUACUCAGAUGGCUUAGAUGAUGUGGCCCGGCAAUUUCCUGCUCCAAUGACUAAUGGAAAUGGUGAAAAGAUUUAAAUUUACCGCACUGGGAGACAAGCGCACACAAAAGGCGCCUUCCUUUUGGUCUCGUCAAGGAUCUUAUAUCCCUACAUCCAUCCAGCUAGCCAAAUAAAUGGCUCUGCAGGGUGGGGAAGUGGGUCUUGUGCAAGCAAAUAAUUUGGAUUUAAAUCGAUUUAAGAUGGCAACGAAUGAGUGUACGCACGCAUUGCAAAAGUGUUUUAUGCAAAUGCAAAUGCACAUAUGGAUUAUUUUCGCAGAGAAAACAUUCGGAAAGAAUAUACGCAUUUGAAUUGAAUUUUCCCAUUCAAAUGAUAUGCUCAGACUUUAGUUGUUGAAUUAAAUGCAGUCACUGUA